rnacentral:misc_RNA from 1 species
GCAAACUUGGUCAUUUAGAGGAAGUAAAAGUCGUAACAAGGUUUCCGUAGGUGAACCUGCGGAAGGAUCAUUAUAGAGAAAUUUUAUCUAUAACUUCGGUUAUAGAUAAUUCUUUUCAAACCCUUUGAUUAAUUAUAUCUUGCGUUGCUUUGGCUUUUUUAAUUAAAAGUCAUAAGCCUUAACAAAACUAUUUUUAAUUAUGAAUUUUAUGUCUGAAAAUACUUAAAAAAUUAAACUAAAACUUUCAACAAUGGAUCUCUUGGUUCUGGCAUCGAUGAAGAACGCAGC